rnacentral:lncRNA from 1 species
UUUGAUCUUGGAAGUUGAAGAAAGAGAGUGUGUAUUUUGUUAGUCUUGAAAGACAUAUUUCCAAAAUUUAAGACCUCUCAAGACUUUUACAACCAAUUCCAACCACUCAAGGACUUUAACAACCACUUUUCCAACAACCUUCCAUGAUUUAAGGACCAUGUCUUGAGGAGAAAAGUCAAGUCUUGCUUUUUGAAUUUGAAAGAGGAUUUCAAGACUUAUUUUCUCUCCUUAACCAAUUUCCACCAAUUCCAAAUUACAAUUGGACCAAGACU